rnacentral:rRNA from 1 species
CAAGCCUGAUCCAGCAAUGCCGCGUGCAGGAAGAAGGCCUUCGGGUUGUAAACUGCUUUUGUCAGGGAAGAAAUCUUCUGGGUUAAUACCUCGGGAGGAUGACGGUACCGCAAGAAUAAGCCCCGGCUAACUUCGUGCCAGCAGCCGCGGUAAUACGAAGGGGGCUAGCGUUGCUCGGAAUCACUGGGCGUAAAGGGUGCGUAGGCGGGUCUUUAAGUCAGGGGUGAAAUCCUGGAGCUCAACUCCAGAACUGCCUUUGAUACUGAAGAUCUUGAGUUCGGGAGAGGUGAGUGGAACUGCGAGUGUAGAGGUGAAAUUCGUAGAUAUUCGCAAGAACACCAGUGGCGAAGGCGGCUCACUGGCCCGAUACUGACGCUGAGGCACGAAAGCGUGGGGAGCAAACA